AUUGAACGCUGGCGGAAUGCUUUACACAUGCAAGUCGAACGGCAGCACGGACUUCGGUCUGGUGGCGAGUGGCGAACGGGUGAGUAAUGUAUCGGAACGUGCCCAGGCGUGGGGGAUAACGUAGUGAAAAUUACGUUGAUACCGCAUACGAUCUAUGGAUGAAAGCGGGGGAUCGCAAGACCUCGAGCGAUUGGAGCGGUCGGUAUCAGAUUAGGUAGUUGGUGGGGUAAAGGCCCACCAAGCCAACGAUCUGUAGCUGGUCUGAGAGGACGACCAGCCACACUGGAACUGAGACACGGUCCAGACUCCUACGGGAGGCAGCAGUGGGGAAUUUUGGACAAUGGGCGAAAGCCUGAUCCAGCCAUUCCGCGUGCAGGAUGAAGGCCCUCGGGUUGUAAACUGCUUUUGUACAGAACGAAAAGGUUUCUACUAAUACUAGGAGCUCAUGACGGUACUGUAAGAAUAAGCACCGGCUAACUACGUGCCAGCCGCCGCCGUAA
rnacentral:rRNA from 1 species